GUAGGCUACUCUACCCACUCUAGUCACAUGGGAACCGUUUUUGGCAACAUUCAACGUUGAGUAUCUUCUAAAACAUCUCUGACAUCUAAAAGAAAUAGUGUUUGCACACCUAGUCCAAAGAGAUUUAUCAGUAUCAGAGUAUGCUCAGAAAUUCCUAGAGUUAGGUCGGUAUUUACCUGAUAGCAUGACAAAUGAAGGUAC
rnacentral:lncRNA from 1 species